GUAUGCUGUAACUCUGUGUUAUGUUUUGAUAAAUUUGGUUCUUGUGUGUUUGUUUCUUCCUGUGGAAGGAACAUAUCCCAGUGUCAUUGAAAACUGAAGCAAGUGCUGGACUUUCUGCCACUGAAUUGGAGCUAUCAGCAGUUGGAAGUUGUAGGAUGAAUUGAUGGUUUCCAUUGGACCAAGACUUGCUGAUUGUCCUGGGAAGGUCUACAGGUGAGUGGCAACUACUAUUGUAACAGUAUUAGAGGCUUCCAUGAGAUAACCCAAAGUAGUCCA
rnacentral:lncRNA from 1 species